GGGAGGGGAGACAUGUUUACAUGUUCUCACCUCCCCCACUAUUUUUCAGGUAUCGCGGGCGGUGAGGGUUUGAGACGAGACGUGAGACACGUACGUAGCGGUCGAUAGAUCUUUCGACCCAGGUUGUUCGGUUUAGCUCUUACCCUUUUUAUUUCUGUUGAUAUAUAGCUUAGAUAGUUUAUAUGGUUCAGUAUUUUUAUUACAUUUGAAUAUGUGGAUUUUCAUGAAUGUAAUAAAAGGAUUUCUGGAAUUUGUAAAAUAAAAGGUUUUCUACCCCUCGUGGUAGCGUUUUUAAAGAAUAAAGGUUUCCGUGUAGGAAACAGUUUUCAAAAGGAUUUUUCGUGGAUUUCUGUUUAAACAUUGAAUGUAAAACUGUGAUGUGAAUGGUGAAUGUAUGAAUGUAUAGUUAUCUUUAUAUUCAUCUAGUUGUGGUUGUAUCCUGGUUGUAUUCUUGUACUUGUGCGACGCCGUGCAAAUACAGGGGAGACUCUGUCCGUGUGAACAGUGGAUUCCCUGUAUUUGUGGCGGAUCUGGCAUACUCUGGGGUCAGGUUUUCAAAAAAAAAAAUUUAGACGCUUUUCCGCUAUCUCUUAAACUGAAAGGGACCCCAGGGCGUGACAGAUUAAAGUGGUAUCAGAGAGAUGUUACAACCACAACACCAUUCACAGGUUGUUUUGAAAAGUAAAUGAACUGAACCAAAUAAACUGAACCAUUGGUUAGGUUGACCAAUAGGAAGACUACGGUGUAUAGGUAAGUGAGUGCGGGGUUUGGGCUUGUGUCCCGGUGUGCAUUCGAGUUUGUUAAACUCGAAGUGCAUGGUUUCUGUAAGUGUUACGGUUCGCACAAGCUGGUGUCUAAGUCGGGAGUAGUGGCGGUGUACUUAUUCGGACAUCGAGUGGUGGGGCGACGUUCCUCAGGUGUUACCACUCCUGUCAGGUGGGGCCUUGAAGGGCCAAGUGAGACUUUCGGGCCUAAGCGAGUGUCAUAACUGCCGACGCUGGGCCACUCUCUCUACUUAGGACACGAGAGCUACGGCGAAUGUCUCUACGGAGAUGGUGCUUAGACCAGUUACGGUCGCGACUUCAGUAGGGCUACUAGGGUGUAGCCCAGGGUUUGGAUAGCGGUCGUUUCGGCGACUGCAUUAUUAGUGUUGCUUCCUCAGACCUUUGGGUAGGGUUGCGACGCCUACCUCUCCUCCUUGAUUGCUGAUUGAAAUCAGCGGUUGAAUCUUUUGACCUUUACCUCGUUCAUUCUUCCUACCAGAAUCGAAUUGACACAGUUUUGGUGUCAGGUCCCUGUGAUACUUACAUCGUAUGCGAUUGUUCUAACACCUAAAUUGGUGUCAGGGGAUAGUAGAUGGUUUAGUAGGAUCCGUCUUGAUUCGAGAGACUCCAGGUUAUUGUCGGAAUUCUUGGAACUUUGAUUAUAGCUCGGUGAGGUGCGAAAAUCGGUUUGAGAAACCGUUUUUUAAAGCCUCAGUUUGUACAGUUCGCGGCUUAGUGUCGCUAGCAACUUUCGGAUGUUGAAAGUAUAGGACUCCCUGUGAGUCGGUUCAGGGUCGUUCUGAUUUCGAAUGUCGACUUGUAAAGUCGAUGUUUCGAUAGUAAGGGUUGUGAACUCGUGGUUCAAUGAAGAGGUAUCAGGUGGCUUGAUACUUCGACGUGUCACACUUCCAACUUGUUGUUAGUAGUAGAUCUUCAGAUAUUUCGCUUUUUUUUGAUAAGUAUAUUGGCUGCAGACAAUGUACUGUCGAAAGAUAGGACGAAAUACCCUUUUCCCUGUUUGGGACUUUUGGAUUGGGUCGGUGUUUUCCCUAGUUGUUUAUGAGAACGCUUGAGUCUCUGACCUUGUGGCGAACCUUGGAUUAUUCCUUGGCAGGUUUUUGUACAGUUGACUUAUCAUCACUUCUGAUGGUUUUGACUUUGGUCCGAGUCUAGGUUAUCGUUGGUCCUAUUGUUGUGCCUUCCACAGCUAAGAGUUUCUUGGGUAGUAGUCUUGGUUUGUUGUCGCGACGUUCAGAAUCACAAUUGUGGAGUGACUUGAGCAUGGUUGUUGGCUUUGAUUGUCACCGUAUGUGAUAGCGUAUAAGGUUUGCGGCUCGGCUUUUCGUGCAAACCUUGGAAUGUUAUGCUUGUCCGAUUAUUUGGUGACAGGUGCGCCAGGGUCUUAAUGAGACAGGCAUUUGGUAUUGCUCGGAACAUCGAUCGCUAGGGUCCAUGGUAGGACGACAGCGACAGGGUCUUGUGAAGACAGGUGUUGGGUAUCACCGAUGGUUGGUAUCGCAUGGUGCGAUUGGCUAUCCUGUGCAUCAAGUAAUGGACUUGCAUGGUGGGUAUGUUGGUGGUCUAUUGGUACCGGAUUAAGUUUGAGGGGACAUUAUGGUCUAGCCCAAUUGGUUUUGUCAGUUGGAUCUUUUGGUCAAGUGGAAUGUGAGGCCUUGGACCUAGGACUAUAGAUUGUCGCAGGUGACUUUACAUUGAUGAGGUUUGGCAGUUUGUGUGGUUACUCGUGUAGACUGUGGUCUCCGAUGUGAGUGAUUUUGACUCGGAUUUUAGAACAACAUUUCGUUUUCGCUCAUGGUGAGCAGGUUGACGUUGUUGAAUAGUCGGAGUUUUUCGUUUCUGUCUACGUAAAUAGACUCCAGAUUAAAAUGGUUGUCUCGUGACUUUUCUACGUGAACUUGCGACGUAGUCGAGUCGGUUACGGCUAUGCGGACUAAGGUAGAACGGACCUAAAUUUCUGAAUGUUGAUUAAUUAUCUCAGAAUUGGCAAAUUGGGAUCGAAUAAUCCUAGUCGCGGGACUGUCUUUGUCCGCAGGUUAUAGGAUAGUGUUGAUCCCGGUGAGUUUUGGUCCGUAGAUUUUGGGUUAGUACGUUUUCCCUCGAUUUGUCCAGGUGGAACCGCAGUCCUAUUUUUUCCCCUUUCUACGGAAGUUGAUAUAUCCAGAUGUAAUUGACCAGUACUCAAGGGUGAUAUUACAGUGGUGGAGUAAUAUCCGAAUUCGAUUUCGGUGGGUAUGUGGUCAAGUUUCGGGGACGAAACUUCUUUUAAGGGGGGGAUAAUGUAAGGACUGAGUUUUUUACAGUGCAACUAAACUCUCUGUUGAUGAUGUUUAUGUGUGUAAUUUAAUUACAUAAGCACUCGUCAAGUUUCAGGAGAAAAUGAGCUAAAAUGGAGAAGUUACGCGAUUAUUAGUUUUCACUUAAGUGAAUAGUAACUCCGGUUUUCCGGAGAAGCCACGGAGUAGAGUUGGCUUUCGGCGCGUAUCGGACUCCGUUCAUAGCGAUCCAAUAGCUCGUUUUGAACGGUUCAGCUAUUCUGGAACCAAUGGCACUGACGGAUUUUAGAUCUGAUGCACGGUUUUCGAGAAAAUCUGAAAAUACAUGUUUCUUAUGUAAUUGUGCAUCAUUUUGGCCUUUUGGAGAGAGAUUGGAUUUCGUCGUGAAUCGGAGAUCAAAUCGGACGAAACGAAAUGCUAGAUUCGAUGCCUCGACGUGCUGAACGCGUUGGCGUGAUCCGAUCGGAAAUCCGAUGGACGGAUCUUUGGGAAUUGCAAUAAGUUCGCUAAGGGGUCGAGAGUGGAAAAUCGGGAAAUUCGCCAAAGUCGUAAUAUUUUAUGUACCGAAUCGCGCGAGAUCGAUUGUGGAGGUGCAAAAGCGCGAGAGUUACCCAUUGUGAAGGACUAGGGUUGAAAUUUGUAGUUCGGUGGACUUUUGUGCAAAAUUGCACUUUGUAUACAAUGUGCAUCUAGGGUUUCUAUGCACGAAACCCUAGAUCUACUCAACCCAGCGCCCAGCUGUGCCCUAGCCGCCAUCUGCAGGUCCAUGCCCUAGCAGGGCGCGCGCCCCGGCCGCCGGCGAGCUUCCCCGGCCGCCGAAAACCAGGAUCGGCCUCUCCUCUACCAUCAUCUCCACCUAGCCACCUUCUUCUUUGGUCUUUAAGCUCGAGGGGUGACCAUCCACGUCGAUACUGCACCCUCUGGCCGAGACCCUUCUCCAGCAUCAUCGCCGCCGGCCGCCGCCGUCCCGGCCGCCCCGGAGCGCCGCCACCGCCGCCCUGGCAGGAUGCGGCCAACCUGGACAGAUUUGGCCGAGGUUGUGAGAUCUCCUCCUCCUCGUCCUGCUGCCGCUCGGGAUUGGAUGAACCACCCUUCUCGAUCUCCCCGGCGCCGUCCCUGCCAGCCGUCGCCGUUCGCACGCGCCGCCGGCGCCGUCGGGACCAUCUGCGACAAUAUGCUGCAGCUCGGGCCGAGCUCGAGUCAGCUCGUGGCCGCGAGUUGCAGCCGCCUCGAGGCGGUCGGCCCCACCUUCCUCUUCUGUCGGCGACCUCACGCGCAUGUUUCCUGGCGCCCCCGACCACCGCUGGCCGCCGCCUGAAGCUCCUGCAGCUGCCCAGACUUGGUGCGGGCCGAGGCUGGGCUUCCCUCCAAUCCGCGCGUCGCCGCCGCCCACAGCGGGGAGCACCACCCUUCCCACGGCCUCCGGCGACGGAUCGCCGUCGCCCCGCCCUUCUCCGGUCGCCGCCGCGCCGCCGGGAAGCGUUGAACCCGAGAGCCACUUCGAGGAAUUGAUCUCUUCCGCCGCGCCACCGGCCACCUCCCGCCGCCGGCCAGCAGGUUCCCCGGACCCCUUGGACUGAAAGGGACCCCGGGGCGUGACAAGUGGAGGUUGCUGGAGCUCUGAGAAAGCCUCUACCACCUUCUCCACCUUCUCUCUCUAGGAUUUUUCUCUCUCUACAAAGGAAUCGCCGAUUUCUCUCGUUUUCGUCGCAUCGCGUGUUCUUCGCUGGUUGCGAGCGUUGCGAAGCUUAUGUGGACGUGGGAAGGAGUGUUUUGGAAGGAUUUUCGCAGCUCUGAACCAGUGGGUCACUGGUUGGAAGCUUAAGAAGGUAAUUGACUCAAAUUUUCCGCUAUUGACGUUCUAUUAGUCGAAUUGAGUGUGGAUUUCGGGUUUUUGCUUCUAGCUGUGCUAGACUGAGAUUUCAGCAUUUAAAGAUGAGUUAAUUAGCUAUGAAUUAAUCUCCUUAGAUCAGGGAUAAGUUAAUUUGAAGUUUAAUAAGAUAAAUAGCUUGUUAUGAAGCUAUUUCGAUCUAUACGCGGGUUAUUCUAUCGAAUUGAUGCAGUUUGGAAAUUGUGUCUUCGCAGCGGGUUUCUGAACCACGUGGAGCUUAUUUGGUGACCUGGGAGGCAGGUUUAGAAGGUGUUCUAACCUGAGGUAAGCAAGAAUUUUAGUUAGGAAGCUGAAAUUGUAAGAUUCCGACUAUAUUUGCUAAUAAAUGAUGAUUUUGAUGCCGUUUUGACGUUGUUUGCAGCGAGAUUGCGAUCGAGCCUUGGAUCGUUUUCGACUGACUUGUGAGGACUCUUGGAGGUUACAUUUGAGGUACUAAUGUGACACGAAACAGGGGUUUAAGUUUCUACUUUGUACUAAGUGCAAUUUAGGCCGAAAUCGGACAUUUCGGUUGUAGUAUUGAUACGACUUUCGUACCUUGUUACAGCAGGAUUGAGGCUUCGUUGAGCUUGAUUUUGGGACUCUUGUGGAUUGAAUUGGAGUCUUGUAUUAGGUGGGUUUGACCUAACCAGAGCAAGUGAAGCUCCUCUAUGUUCUAUAUGUGAUUAUAGGAUUGGUUUAGUUGUGCGUACUUGUAAUUAUUUUGAGUGGUUAAGUACUUGGAACUUGUUACUAUAAUGUUCGAUGCAAUUAAAAUAGAACCUCUAUGAAGUAGAGAGUAUUCAUGCAUAAAAGUAUUCAUGCAUAAACAUCUUCUUGUUUAGUUCAGUAGAACGAUCAAGAGAUAACUUUCAUAUGCUCUAUCAAGUAGAGAAUAAUGAUAUUCUUGUGACUUUAUUGAUUUCAAGUUAGAGAACAAUGACACUCUCUUGACUCUAAAGUAAAGAACAAUAAUAUGCUUUAUGCCUAUGUUGAUAGUGCCAUGAUAGUGGAAAGAUUCUAAUGCCAUAUGUGAAUUUAGCAUGAUUCUUGCAUGUUUAUUAAUCUAGUUGAUACUAGUUAUUGCCAAUACUUGUUAUGUUGAGAUUCCGAUCAAAGGAUCGAGAGUGAGAACAUUGUAAGUUGGAAAGUGAUGACUGAGAUAUAUUGGGCUAUGGAUUUGCUUGCUGCCAUUGUGCUCAUUCGCACAUGCUUGUGAGGGUCGCUCCCUACAAGCCGGCACUCCGGAGUUGGCCUACGCGACAGUUGCUCGCCCGUGCGGGACUGGAUGCUGAAGUGGAUUGCCGUGAGGAGUGUACACUAUCACGGGGCCAUUAGGCGCGACGCAAGCUGGACUACCUUGAGUAGGUCCCUGUGAAUGAAAGAAAAGUGCUAAAGAAAAUUGGACAGUAAUGAAUGAUUACCAGUUAUAGUGUAUAGUAGUUACUUACACAUUUAUGCUUAUGUUCAUGUUUACAGUAGUUGCUAUACUUCUAUUAUUCAGUUGAUUUAUUACUGUUGAGACUAUAAUUACAUGUUGCUUACAUGCUCAUUACCUGUUAGCAUUGCAUAUUUAUAUCUAUCAUGUAAUUACUGCUUUUACUUUCAAUUAGCACAUCAUGAGCCUAGUGGUGUAAUUCGCCGAGGCUGGCAGCUUACCCACUGGGAACUAUUGUUAAUAGUUCUCACGCCCUUUUGUGGUUGUUUUUACAUAGCCAUCUACAGGAGAGGUUAGGGAUCGUGGCAAGGGAGUCGCGUCUAGCUAGACAUUGCUAGAAGCAUGCUAGUCGAUCACCUUACUACUCGGGCUACGGCCGAGGGUGAUGUCCCUAUGUAUAGAGAGACCACCAUUGUACUUACUUUUUGUAUACUCCGUGAUGUAUAUUGACUAUUGAACCAGAUAUUAUAGUUGUGACACUUUCUUUUUUUAGUUGAGAUUUUGGUUUGUAUACCCUUUGUUCUAUUGUUUUGACGUCUACGAUGCUCUGAUAUCAGGAUAGGAUUCUUUAUGUUCUACUCCUAUCGACUUGGUUGUUGUAGACGCCUUAUAUACUGCAGGUGUAUGGCGGGUCUGUGCACGUAUUGGAUAUGCUUUUGCUGGUACCCGGGCGUGACACAAAAUAAAAAUACUGAAAAGGUUGAGUACCAAUGUUCAAUUAAUCCUAAAAAAAGUGUAUGUAGGCUUCACAACCUCAAAAUAAGAGGAUUAUUAUAUAUAUUAUUAAUAUAUAAUAAUUAUUAUUCUAUAUAUAAAAAAUUAUUAUAUAAUAAUAUAUUUAAAUAUAAAAUAAAAUUAUAUAUAAUUAUAUAUAGUACUAUAUAUAUAUUAUGUAUAUAUAUAUGAGCUAGGCUGUAUACUAUCGGCUAGCCGGGCCUCCCGUUGCUACCAAGUUGUUCUUUGAUGAUGCGGCUUUCAAAACGAUCGUCGGCCUCGUUAGACUUGAUCUAUACUAUAAUAAGUAUUUUGGAAACUAAAUUUUCGUAAUUUUGCGCAUCAUUUGGCUGAGGUGUCAAAGGUUCCAAAUUAACAAUUUUAAUGGUAGAAUAUGAUGCCGUUUUAUAAGUUCAACGUGUAGAAGUAUCCAAUAGCAUUAAAAUUUAAUAGAAUUCCUACUUAACAUCUAUAGCAAGACCAUAAUACUUGGUAUUUGAAAUUUGAUUCUUUAUCCUGAUUUUAUGAGAUUUUCUUUUCAACGUUCAUUUUUAGACUACUCGUUUGAUUAGGUAAAUGAUGCCGAAAACCUUAUGGAAAUUAGUUUCCAAUAUUUUAAUAGUGUUAUCAAGAUUAACGGAACCGAUCGUUGAUUUUAGAAGCACAUCUAUUCAAAACAACUUGGUAGCACGCAAGCCUUCUGUGCUACCGAUAGUAUACGCCUAGCUCCUAUAUAUAAUAUAUAUAUUACUAUAAUAAUAUAUAUAAUUGAACUCCUAUGGCUUAAAAGUAGCAAGACACAUUUGGUACUUAUAGAUUUUUAGUCAUUGAUUUAAGAGAUAAUGCAGUUAGAUCGAUGUGGGCCCCUAGUUGAGUGGUUGGUUGGUUAUCGUAAUAUCUAAUGGGUUGACAAUGAUCCCGUGGAUGUAAAUUUAACGAAAAAAACUUACAAGCACCAAUGUUGGUGCUUUUACAGCACAUACUGGCCUAUAUAUAUAUAUUAUAUAUUAUACGAGCUAAGCUGGUAUACUAUCGGUAGCACGGAGGCUCCGUGCACAAGUUGUUUUCAUGAUGCGGCUUCCGAAUCGACGAUUGCUCCGUUAGACUUGAUCUAACUAUUAAAAGUAUUUAGAACCUAAAUUUCAUAAUUUGUCGACAUCAUUGCCUGUGAUCAAAAGGUCUCAAAAUUGACAAUUUUAAUGAUAGAUGUGAUGCGUUUGUGAAUUUAACGGUGUAAACAAUCCAAAUCUGAUGAAUUUUUAUAGAAAUUUUUUUUACUAUUUAGAGUAAGAUCAGUGCCUAUGAUCUUAAAUUCAGUCUUUUAUCAUCAUUUUUUAUGAAUUUUUAUUUCAGCGUUCAUUUUUAGACUCGUUUGAUAGGUAAAUGUUACGAAAAUUAGUGAAAUUUAGUUUCAAUAUUUUCAAUAGUGUUAAUCAAGUCUAACGGAGCGAUCGUCGAUUGGAAGCCGCAUCAUCGAAACAACUUGGUAGCACGGAGCCCUCCUCACCAAUAGUAUACAGCAUAGCUCUAUAUAUAUAUAUCAUAAUAUCUAAUAUAUAUAUAUAUAUAUAUAUAUAUAUAUAUAUAUAGUGCGUCUGGUGUGCUUCUGGAAACACGGAGCACUCCGUGCUUCCAAGUCGUUUUCGAUGUUGGGACUUUCGAAUCGACGAUCGGCUCCGUUAGACUUGAUCUAGAGUAUUUGAAAUAUCUAAUAAAUAAAUUUUGUGUGUUUUCAAUAUCAUUUUCCUAUUCAUCGAAGUGGCUCAAAAUCAUCGGUUGAAAAUAAAAAUCUUACAAAAUAUGAUGAUAUGAUAUUAAAUUUUAGAUCAAAGUUAUUGAUCUUGUUUUAUAUAGUAUAAAAAAAAUUUUAUCAAAAUUUCAUGUGAUUUGAAUGUUUCUACACUGUUAAACUUGCAAACGGCUCACUACGGCCAUUAAAAUUAUUGAUUUUGAGCCCCUUCGAUCACUAGGCAAAUGAUAUUGAAAAAUCACAAACUUUAUUUUCUGGGUAUUUCAAAUUCUCUAGAUCAACUCUAACGGAGGGAGAGAGAGGUCCACUGCUCUGUCUCCCUCUUAAGCGGUCCACGAGGUGAAGCCCAUCUCAUGGGCCGCGUGCAAAUAGGCAGGGGUGCAAAAAGGCAUGAGUCCCGUCUUUUUUAUUGUGGGUGGGCAAGAGAGAAAGGAAGCUGACGGGUGGGCCCCACUUUUACCGUGGGAUGCGGUGAGGCAUUCUUGGUUCCAAUUCAUAAGUUUAUAAAUAUAUUGAAUAAUGAACAACUCUCGCCCGUGAGAGAGAGAGAGAGAGAGAGAGAGUACAUGCAAAGAGAUAGAAAAGAAAAGAAAAGAAAAGCCAAAGACCAUGCAUUUGUCCUGAUCCACUUCUUCAAUUGCUCACCAAUUUGCAGGGGAGCCAUGCAUGCACAUUCACAUUCUGCCGCUGCACUCUUUUGUCCGGCCCCUUCUUGUCACUAAUUAAUUUGAUAUUAAUUUAACUAAAUAAUAAUUAAUAAAUUUAGUACUUCAACCAGAAGCGUGGACUGACUGGUACGUAGAUUCAUGGUCUCCAUCACACAGUCGCCACCUGCAUUUCUUUCCUAAUCAUUAUUUUAUUCAUUUAUUUAUCUAAUUUCGAUCAUUUACUUGUUUAGUGGCAUUGGGUCCAAAUAUAGAAAAUACCUAGGAAGUAUCACAAAAAGAUGAUGUUAAUUCCUAAUGUCACACUGUCCCGUCCCUAGAGCAAGUGACAAAGGGCUUGGUGGUUGGUAUCCGAGACUUAAUUUCGAAUCCUAAUUGAUUCACAUUUCCAGUUGGGUAGCAACAUGUUACAGAAUAUGUGGAUACCUGCCAUUGUCCCAAAUACAUAGAAGUGGAGGACGAUACAUAAAUCCAUACAGAAAAUUAAACACAUGCAAAGACAUAUAUGACUAUAAUUUGGAACUUGUUUGAUAUCCAUGGUCAUCUAACAUUAUUAAGUAAAAUAAAUUUAAGUAAAUAUAUAUAUAUAUACAAAGAUAUACUAUCUAUAUACCUUAUAUAAAAUUUAUUUGGUAAAACUGUAAAAAAUAUAUUGUAAUCUCCCAUAAUCUAAAACGGAGUCAUAGGCCAUGUUUGAAUAUAUGAAUAACUUAUUCGGUAUUUCUUCUUAAUUAAUUUACUCAAAAAAAUUAUAUAUUUGGACGAUAAAAAGUGUGAUCAAAAUUUAAAAUAGAAUAAUUUAUGGGCAUUCAAGUCAUUUUUUUUAUAAUAAGAUAAAUAAUCUCGUUGAUGAAAUAUAUUAUUCUACUAAAUCAUGGAUAUUAAAAUUUUUCAAAAAAAUACAAUAAUAUACUUAAAAAAUUCUUAUAUCGAAUAAACUAUCCUUAAAUAACUUAUUCGAAUAUCUAAACAAGAUCGAAGGCAGAAUAUGAUAUUUCAUUUUAAUAUUUAAUUAUACUUUUAAUGAUCCAAAUAUAUAUUUUUUAAAUAAAUUAAAAAAUAUAUCUAAUAAAAUAUUUAUACAUCGAAAUAGAACUUUAGUGAUCAACACUUGUACUAGCAGUUUAGAUCAUAGUUACUAAAUUCAGAUUCGACAAAAAUUUGGUACGGGUAUAAUAUGCAUAAAAUUUAUUUUCUAAUUUUUAAAUUUGUUAAAAAAUUCAGCUUAAAAAAUGGAUUCGGUAUAAAAUAUAAAAUAUAAGAUAUAAAAUAUAAGAUAAUCUAUAUUUAAAUAUAAAAAUUAUAAGUUUUUUAUUCAGAUUUUUAAUAAUUUAAGAAUAAUUCGCGAAUAAUUUGGUUGGCCUAAAAUUCACAAAUAAUUUUAUUUUUAGAAAAAAAAUUUGUGAACAAAUUGUUUGAUUCAGAUUUUUAAAAAUUUGCGAAUAAUUUGCGAGCUAACUGACAAAGAUUAGAUCCAUCUAUAUAGUACAUACUUGUAUAGCCUUGCGGCUCGAAUUCAAAUCGGAACCGGCACUUUUUAAUCGCAAAAGUUCAUGCGCAUGGAAUUGUUCCGCCACUAUUCUACACAGUUUAAACUGGGGUAUUAAUAGACCUAACAAUUUCGACCCAUACCCACGGAUGCCCGCGGAUUACCUGCAAAUUUGCGGGUAUGGGUACCAACUUUUUCAACCCAAAAAAUUACGGGUAAAACGGGUGGAUAUUAAGGUGUGGACAUUUUGGGUAACCCGCGGGUACCCACGCGUACCCACACAUAUAUUUUUUAAUUAUAAAAUAUAUUUUCUUAAUUAAAAUAUUUUUUUUUUUAUUUACUCAUUCUAAAAAUCCUAACCUAAUUUCUUAUCGCAUUAUUUUUUUAUAAAAUUUUUUUGCUUUAAGACUUUAAAUAUUUUUAUUAUAUGUUAUGAUAUUUUAAAUAAUAAGUUAUGUUAUACCNUAUAUAUAUAUAUAUAUAUAUAUAUAUAUAUAUAUAUAUAUAUAUAUAUAUAUAUAUAUGUGUGUGUGUGUUUUGUAUUUAAAAAAUAUAAGAGCAAAAAAUUAAAAAAAAAAGAUUGUGGGUAACCCGCAUACCCACCUGCCCACCAGUGGGCGGGUAUGGGUAAAGAUGUUCGCUAUCCAAAAAUUAACGGGUAAAUUUUACCCAUGCCCAAAUAACCCGCGGGUACAAUAGUCCGCCCGCGUAUUACCCAAUCCACCCAUUUGCCAGGUCUAGAUAUUAAGAAAGAGAUUGUCGAGCACUUUUUGUAGGAUAUAAGCUUUAUAAACUCUCAUACUAGGAAGUGGGCGGUGGCCAGCCGGCGCAUCUACUUUAUAUUAAAGAAAAAAAAAAUUUCUACUUGGAAAAGUAAAAUGAGCCCGACAAUGGCCGAAGUAAAUGGGCCCAAAAGAGUGUUGAAAAUGGAGUGCAAGAAAAGAAACACCCAAACAAGAUAGGAAGCAGAUACUUUUCCCAAAAAAGUAUAUCACAGAGCAAUGUUCUCGCUGAAAAAAAAAUUUUCAUUCAUUUAGUUUUCAAGAAAAAAAUUUAUUUUUGCGAGACAUUUCCCAUGAUUAUUGUGCAAUUCUUAACCGGUUCGAUAUAGAAAAAAAUAAUCGAUUCGAAAAAAAUAGAGUAUUAUAAAAAAUAGUAAAGUCGGUUCGAUGGAAAGAAAGAACAAAUUUAAAAAUAACCAAUUAAAAAUGAAAAAAAACGAUUCAAAGGAGACGAAGAGUCAGAACUGAGCCGAACUCAAAAGAAAACCUGACAGGUGAAAGCUACUUUCAGCAGAUGAAACCCACUUACCACAUAUGCAGAUUACCAAAAAUUAAUAUAUAAUUAUUACAGUUAUAAAUACCUUAUUUCCUUUUUUUGCGUGCGCACUUGAGCACCGAGAGGGUCCGUUUGUUUUGGCGUAAGUGGAGGAAUGGAACUCAAAUUCCAUCACUUUUAUUAUUUAUUUUGGUGUAAGUCAAAAAUAUAAUAUAACUCAAAGUUACGUUAUGAGCCCAUUUGUUUGCACGAAAGUGUGGUGGAAGUGGGAAGGGAGAAGUAAUUUUCGAUAAAAACAGAUCACUUCCGUUGUUUGGUUCACCAUAAUUUUAUUACACCCGAAAGUUUAGUUCACCCAAAAUAAUGAAAUUGACUUCCCCCUCCCAUGGGGCAGAGUCAAUUUCGGUGAGGUGAAAAGAGGCAAGAGUGGAAAUUAAUGUGUUAGAGUUACCCUUUUCUCUACCCUUUCCUUUCCCGAGUCCGAGACACAACUUCAAAUAUAUUCAACUGCGGAAGUAAUUAAAUUUUUUAUUUUGAUUGUAUGUCUAAAAUAUGAUGAAAUUUGGUUAGAUAAGUUUUAAUAUAUUUUUUGUUUAAUUUGUAUAUUUAGAAAAUGAUGAAAAAUAAAUUUGUUAAAUGUUAAUAAUUUUUUAACUUUAGACUUUUAUUUGUUGUAAUUAUAAUUUAUAUGCAAACAAAUAAUCAAAUUUUUUAAAAUUUUAUUUUAUAAUCAUACAUAUAUAUAAUUAUAUACAUAUAUAAUUAUAUUAAUUUUUAUUUAUUAUAAUUUAUUAUUCACUAAGUUACAAAAUAUAUAAUAAUAUCACUUCGGAGGUAAGUAUACCGGGAGUGAACAGCUACACUUUUUACGUCAUCUACUUCCAACCAAACAAACAACAGAACUAGCAGAACUGCACUUCCACAGUUAGAAACAAACAGCGGAAGUGAAUUAAUUUUCACCCCAACUCCACUUCAACCCAAAGUCCACUUCCACCCCAAGUCUACUAACGUUGAAACAAACACGCCCUAGACCUCCACUUCACCUACUCUCGACUUCCUCCUCUAAAGUACCGAACUCGACUUCCACCAGAUUCAACCUCUUCUAAAAAUUUAUUAAAUAGUAAAACAUAAACCCUACUUUCUUUAUAAUUGAUCAAAAUUACCUUAUUUAUAAUAAAUUAGAAUUACCUUUAAAUAAUAAUAAAAAAUUUAAUUAUAUGAUAGGUUAAAUUUUAUAACGGUAAAUUUAUCACUAUAUUUAGGAAAUAACGGGAUACACUUACCUCAAAAUAAACAGUGAAACUCAAAAAACUAAUUUCACCAGCACCAAGUUAUAUCAAAACAAACAGAAGAAAUAAUUAAAUUUAACUUUCAGACUGUACGAGUUAUGUCAAAACAAACAAAAAAAAUUAAUCACACUAAUGAAAAACUCAAACACCUUUGCAGUUGAGUUACGUCAGAUCUACAAAUUCGUUAAUCCAAAUGCCCCGGAAGUGAGUGCCUAUCCAUGUGCUCGUCUACGUCGUGAGCGUGCAUGAAUGUCGUGCGAGACUAUACAUGUAUAAAAAUCAUACUGGGCACUUCUCUUUUGUUUUUUUGAGAAUUAGAUCCCUACGACUAAAUAAUAUAAAAAAUAUCUAAAGUAAUUUUUUUCAAAAUAAGAUUAAUCAGAUCAUAAGCAAAAUGCAUUAUUCGCAAAGAAAUGACCGUCAAGAACUUCCAACAAGCUAAAAGCAAACUCAAUGCAAUCACAAAAGAAAAUCUGCGGCAUGUACAAAUUAUCAAAAAACUAGUUCACACAUCCAAAAAGGCACUAAGCAACUAUUUUAUCAUUUAUUUGAGUGAAUCAAAUAAAUGUAUCCAUAACUCAGUCAAAAUAUUAGAUCCGUUAUAUCUACAAAUCUAAAUACAAAUUCAAUCUAAAUGAACAAAAUCCAUUACCAUGCCAAGCUCAAUCAACCAUACAAUCAAGUCUAUUUGAAUGUCAGAAUAAAAUAUCCAAUGAUAACUUACUCGACAUAAAAAUUUCUUGUCUAAUUGGAAAUUUUAAAAAAAAAUGAUUUUUGCUCUUUGAAAGAUUUCGGCAUUCACAAUUCGAUAGGAUAGUAUAUUUCACAUGUAAGGUGAUUUAUCUUAUUUUUAAAAAGUGAUUUGCAGGUCGAACUCAAACAGUCAAACUAAGACUCCACAAACCCUAAAUAGUAGUUACCAAAAAGAAUAUCCAGAGAUGCAAAAUGAGCAGACGAAUGAACACAUAAAACUGAAAACAUGUAUCUCAGGAAACCAAAAUCUGAGAAAAGAUAGCAGCUUCAGUAUACACUUUUGUGAGGGAAACAAACGGCCCCUGUUUCUUCAUGAAAAUUGCAUAUUCCUAAUUUAAGUCUGAAUACAUUAAACUUUAUAUGAGAUAUGAACUCAAUGAAAGAACAAUCAUCCUAUACUUUAAAGGGUAUGACAUUGUAUUUACAAUCAAACACUAAGUUACACUAGGUUUUGCUAGGUAUGACAAAACUCGCACAACUGCUCUGUUUAAUAAGUUAAAAUUUUUCCUGCAACUAACUUGGGUGACAUGGAAUGUGGUUACCUGCAUGGUAAGAAGCUCAUUACGAUGAGUUCCAAUUCACCAGUCAUCAUUGGCCUGCAUCAGGAGGUUGCUGAGCAUGGACUGCAGCUUGUCGCCUCUGACGUUCCCGCAAGUAAAGAACAGUCAAGAGGCAAGCAAAGAGGGUUAAUAUUGUUGCAUUGCCUUCGUCAAGGAUUACAUCCUCCACCCAUUCCUCGAUCCUUGGGUAAACCUCCGGAAGUGAAUCGAUCAGAUUAACCUGCUUAAUGGUGAGAAAUUCUUUAUGUUUUCUACCAAAAAAAUCAAGGAUAGAUUGCACCAGGGUUCCUCAACCUUUCUGUAGCUUCAGUUUGGCCACAACCUUUUAUUGUCAUAAUUCAGUCCCUAACUCUCACAAAGCAAUCUUACCGGGCUUUUUUUGCAUUUAGCCCCCUAAAAAAAAUUUAUUUUAAAAAUAGCCCCAGCAAAUUAUAUUUGCACUUUUGGCCCUCAUCCUGCCACGCAGACGCCACGUCAGCGCCACGCGAGCAGGGCUGGGCCAAGGUGUUAAGUUGAACACGGUUAACCAUUCACCGUAUCCAAACACGGUAAAUGAUUUACAGCGUCUAGAGAAAAUACAAAUAUAUGUAUUUUUCGCAAUAUAAAUAUUAAAAAGAGGAAGAGGGAGUAGGGAUGUCAAUGGGUAUGGAUACCCGAAAUAUUAUCCGAGCCCAAACCCGAAUAAAUUAUUUAUAUACAUAAUUUAUUUUUAUUUAUUUAUACAAUAUAUAAAAUAUUUAAUAAUUUUUAUCCCUUAGAUUUUCAUCCAACGGUAUGAAUUUUUAAAACCCGUUGGGUUCGGGUUUCGGGUUUUUGGUCGGGUAUGGAUAUGGGUAUGGAUUUUUAAAACCCAUCGGGUUCGGAUCCGAGUUCAUAUUUUAAUUUGAUUUUCAAGUUCGGGUUCGGGUUUUUGAAAAGGAGAAGAAGAGGAAUAUAAAUAUGAAACACGGUGAACCAUUCACCGUGUUUGAACACGGUGAACCAUUCACCGUGUUUGAACACGGUGAACCAUUCACCGUGUUCAACUUGCCAAACAGGCUCCCAGCCCGCCCACAUGGCGCUUGCGUGGCAGGGAUAGGGCCAUUUUUGCAAUUAUAAAUUUGUUGGGGCUCGUUUUAAAAUAAAAUUUUUCUAGGGGGCCAUUUGCAAAAAAAGCCCAAUCUUACCCUUUUAAUUGAAUUCCUCCAUCAUAUUAUAUUAGACAGAGAUACACAAUCACUAAAUACAAACAUAAGAACAUUUGAGCUUCUAGCAGUUAGUGGGCAUUUCCAUCCAAUUUAACCACAGAAGUCAAUAAAAGGACUUACUAUUAAAUAUUAAGGAUAGAAACCAAAUUGUGGCAAUUGAUAGGUUGAUAACCUAGGUGAGAACUCCUAGAAAAAGUUGAGGACCCUGGUGGAUCUCACCAAAGACUUUAAAAGUCGAAUUAGAAGAAUUAGAAGGCUACUUGACCUGUAGAUAGACGCAAACUUAUUGAAGAUUGUUAACAACAUUACAUGAUCUAUUGCAACAGACUGAAACAGAUGAACAACAACCUAAUUUUACUUGGCAAAAUAAAUUUCAAGUUUUAAGAUUGGAAAUAAGUUGUAAAUAAUAGUACAUUAUGUUCCAGCUUUAAAAACUAAAUCGUUUAUUCUACGUUUAUUCUAUGAAUCAUGAUUUGUCUAGAAAGUACCACAGCAAACAUCUCAAAACCAGAAUUAGCAGGACAUUUAGCCAAUAACUUUAUUCUUAACUCGGUACUUUUAAGAUAGCUCUUUUCAGUGAUACUACAUUAGCCAAGAUACAUGCGGCUUACUAUGGCAGCACUGCUAUUUUCUUCAUUCACUAUAUACAAAUUAUCCAAGUAUUGUAAUUAAAGGCCAACAACAUACAUACAAUUUAAACAAGGCAAAAAUGUAUGAAGACCUGCUCAACUGUAACCCCUUCCUCCCNCAACUGCUCUGUUUAAUAAGUUAAAUUUUUUCCUGCAACUAACUUGGGUGACAUGGAAUGUGGUUACCUGCAUGGUAAGAAGCUCAUUACGAUGAGUUCCAAUUCACCAGUCAUCAUUGGCCUGCAUCAGGAGGUUGCUGAGCAUGGACUGCAGCUUGUCGCCUCUGACGUUCCCGCAAGUAAAGAACAGUCAAGAGGCAAGCAAAGAGGGUUAAUAUUGUUGCAUUGCCUUCGUCAAGGAUUACAUCCUCCACCCAUUCCUCGAUCCUUGGGUAAACCUCCGGGAGUGAAUCGAUCAGAUUAACCUGCUUAAUGGUGAGAAAUUCUUUAUGUUUUCUACCAAAAAAAUCAAGGAUAGAUUGCACCAGGGUUCCUCAACCUUUCUGUAGCUUCAGUUUGGCCACAACCUUUUAUUGUCAUAAUUCAGUCCCUAACUUUCACAAAGCAAUCUUACCGGGCUUUUUUUGCAUUUAGCCCCCUAAAAAAAAUUUAUUUUAAAAAUAGCCCCAGCAAAUUUAUAUUUGAACUUUUGGCCCUCACCCUACCACGCAGACCCCACGUCAGCACCACGCGAGCGGGGCUGGGCCAGGGUGGUAAGUUGAACACGGUUAACCAUUCACCGUGUCCAAACACGGUAAAUGAUUUACCGCAUCUAGAGAAAAUACAAAUAUGUGUUUUUCGCAAUAUAAAUAUUAAAAAGAGGAAGAGGGAGUAGGGUUGUCAAUGGGCAUGGAUACCCGAAAUAUUACCCGAACCCAAACCCGAAUAAAUUAUUUAGAUACAUAAUUUAUUUUUAUUUAUUUAUACAAUAUAUAAAAUAUUUAAUAAUUUUUAUCCCUUAGAUCUUCAUCCAACGAUAUGAAUUUUUAAAACCCGCCGGGUUCGGAUUCGGGCCCGGGUUCGAGUUUCGGGUUUUUGGUCGAGUAUGAAUAUGGGUAUGGAUUUUUAAAACACAUCGGAUUUGGAUCCGAGUUCGGGUUUUAAUUUGAUUUUCAGGUUCGGGUUCGGGUUCGGGUUUUUGAAAAGGAGAAGAAGAGAAAUAUAAAUAUGAAACACGGUGAACCAUUCACCGUGUUCAACUUGCAAAACAGACUCCCAGCUCGCCCACGUGGCGCUUGCAUGGCGCCUGCGUGGCAGGGAUAGGGCCAUUUUUGCAAUUAUAAAUUUGUUGGGGCUAGUUUUAAAAUAAAAUUUUUUCAGGGGGCCAUUUGCAAAAAAAGCCCAAUCUUACCCUUUUAAUUGAAUUCCUCCAUCAUAUUAUAUUAGACAGAGAUACACAAUCACUAACUACAAACAUAAGAAACAUUUGAGCUUCUAGCAGUUAGUGGGCAUUUCCAUCCAAUUUAACCACAUAAGUCAAUAAAAGGACUUACUAUUAAAUAUUAAGGAUAGAAACCAAAUUGUGGCAAUUGAUAGGUUGAUAACCUAGGUGAGAACUCCUAGAAAAAGUUGAGGAUCCCUGGUGGAUCUCACCAAAGACUUUAAAAGUCGAAUUAGAAGAAUUAGAAGGCUACUUGACCUGUAGAUAGACGCAGACUUAUUGAAGAUUGUUAACAACAUUACAUGAUCUAUUGCAAGAGACUGAAACAGAUGAACAACAACCUAAUUUUACUUGGCAAAAUAAAUUUGAAGUUUUAAGAUUGGAAAGAAGUUGUAAAUAAUAGUACAUUAUGUUCCAGCUUUAAAAACUAAAUCGUUUAUUCUAUGAAUCAUGAUUUGUCUAGAAAGUACCACAGCAAACAUCUCAAAACCAGAAUUAGCAGGACAUUUAGCUAAUAACUUUAUUCUUAACUCGGUACUUUUAAGAUAGCUCUUUUCAGUGAUACUACAUUAGCCAAGAUAAAUGCGGCUUACUAUGGCAGCACUGCUAUUUUCUUCAUUCACUAUAUACAAAUUAUCCAAGUAUUGUAAUUAAAGGCCAACAACAUACAUACAAUUUAAACAAGGCAAAAAUGUAUGAAGGCCUGCUCAACUGUAACACCUUUUGAAACACCUCCCCCCCCCCCCAACCUAUUCUUCUUUUUUUAAAAAAAUACUGACACCAGUUCAACAUGUGAUUUUUUUUCCCCCGAAUGAUUCUAGCCAAAUAAAUAGCGGAUUUUACAAAAUUCAACUGUCUAUUCCAUCAAAUUUCAUGGCAUUUACUAUUUGCUAAGAAAUAGAAUUGCCAUAAUUACCAAUGAAUAGAAAUAUCCAAGUUAGANCUAAAAAAAUACUGACACCAGUUCAACAUGUGAUUUUUUUUUUUCCCCCGAAUGAUUCUAACCGAAUAAAUAGGGGAUUUUACAAAAUUCAACUGUCUAUUCCAUCAAAUUUCAUGGCAUUUACUAUUUGCUAAGAAAUAGAAUUGCCAUAAUUACCAAUGAAUAGAAAUAUCCAAGUUAGAAAAACUUCAAUUUAGCUAACUAGAAAAACACAAAUAAAAUGAUUAUAAAAAAAGUUGGGUAAACUUCAUAUACCACCCCUAUGGUUUCGCACUUUCUCACUUUAGUAUUCUGUGGUUUAAAGUGUAUCAAAUUAGUGCCCUGUGGUUUCAUUUUUAUCUUUUCGUCAGCUUCACCGUUGAUAUUUCGUUAAAUUAUAUACAAAAAACUUCAGAUACUCCACCUAGGUUUAUCGAAUAUUCACUUCAAUACCCAUUAGUUUUAACUAUGUCACUAAUUUAACAAAAAAAAUUAGUGGAAUUGAUAAUAAAAAGAUAAAAAUGAAACCACAGGACACUAAAUUGAUACACUUUAAACCACAGGGUACUAAAGUGAGAAAGUAUGAAACCACAGGGGUGGUUUUUGAAGUUUUCCCAAAAAAAAUUAAAGUUAAGAGCCUAUUUCAUGAUGGUCUAUAGUUAGGGGUUUUCAUUACAUUUUUACCUUUUUACGUUGAAAGAGGACCUACACCAUCAGCCAAAGAGCUAAGAAUAUUAAACCCUCCGGACAAACUAAAAGAUAUAACAUCCUUUAAAGUUGCAUCAUAUUUAAUGGAUAAAAGAAUCAAGAAUGGGGAAUCUCACCACAAAGCCGCCAGCAUAGUUCUUUCUUAGCCACAAGCUCAUGAGGGCAAGUGUAACAGGUAGCUUUGCAGCAGGAUCAAUCUCAAGGGCUUGAUCAUAAUACCGUUUUGCCAAAUGAAGAUCAAGCGGAAGUCCUUGGCCGUGCUCAUGCAUGUACCCAAGGUUAAACAUGGCUUGAGCAUUCAACUGCGAUUGGGCAUGCAUGUAUGCCUCUGCGGCUCGCUCGUAGUCUCUCUCAAUGCCCUGUUAAACAAUAAAUAGCUAUAAAAGACAACAUCUUGUUUUGCCAACUUUUGAAUAACUUCCAAUGAGGGUAGCCUUGAUAUAUCAGCACAUCCCAACCAUAUUUUCCCAGAUAUAUAAUCCUCCAUCCAGCUCAGAAUUAUACUACAGCAGGUUUAGCAAUGAUAAAUAGGGUAAAAUGGAAGAAUUGUUCCAUAUACUUAUUGCAGUUUUGUGACUAAGCUCUUAAACUUUUCAUUUAAAUAUUGUAGUUCUAAAAUCUCAACUACAAUGCAGUUGCGUCCCUAUCCCAUCCAAAAUACCAAAUAUAUCCUAUCAGUCACAUGCUCACGCUCUCCUGGUAAAAUGACCAUUUUAAUGCUGUAUCAUAUCUAUGGAGGCAGAAGGUCAUGUUACAUGAGAAGGGUCAAAUGGCCAUUAUGUAAAAAAGCAUCACCAUGUGGAGAAUUUAACUUAACAGACUUCAGGAAUUGGGUGGCCUGGGAUGCAGCUGUAACAUUUGAAAAAGUACAGGGACUGAAAUGUCUAAUUAAAUUUCAUGGACUAAGUCACGGACUAAGUCACAUAUCAUGAAACGGUUUCGCUUGUGAAUUUACCAAUUAAAUACUUAGUAACAAAGGCAUUACCCGGCCAUAAUAGUAGGCAUCUCCUAUCAACAAAGCGGCAUGUUCAUUACCCUGCUCAGAUGCUUGCCACCAUAAAGAAUGUGCACGGAGAUGUCUUUCAGCAUCCGUGCAAAAGCCAGAUUCUCCCAUGCAAAUGCUCUGUUCCCCAUAUCUGUCGAGGAUCCACGCAGCAUUGCUUUGUGCCACCUCAUAUCCGAGCUCAGCCAUUCUAGAAUAUAAGAGCAGUGCUUUUCCCAUAUCACCCUUCAAGUAGGACUCCAGAGCCCAUCUUGAUAGGGAGCUCCAAGGUCCCCUCUCAGCUACAGCUUUGUAAAGAAGAGUAGCCUGAAGAGGUAAGAAAGAAAGGAAUCAACAAUAUUGAAAAUAAAUCAAAACGGAUGCACAUUUAGACAAAAUCUCUACAGUGAAUUUGCGCAAACACCAAGAAAGUUUCAAAGAAUAUAUUCAGUUCAAUCUUUUCAAAAGAAACAGUUAGCUGUUAAUAAAGUAAAAUAAUAGGAUGAUAAUUAAUUAAAACAACCCAAAAAGUUUGAUAAUCUUUAAGUUUGCUUAUCUUCUUAUCUAGUGAUUUGGUGGCUAGAUAAACAAUCGGUUGUGUCCAUUCUCACAAAGAUGUACUGUUUUAAUCUGCUAAUCGCAAUUAGCUAAGAGAAGUUCUAUGAUUAUACUGCAAGCCUGAAAUACUUUAUGCUUUAUGCCAGGUGGUUUACUAAUUUUUGGAAAGAAAAAAAGCGCCAUUAAUCGAUCAUGCUUUAUGCUGUUAUAUGUUAUCCAAAUAAGCAUGUUUUUCUUUCCAAGUCUCAAAAUUCAAGUGGUGCUCCUUUUAUUGAUUAUAUCUGAUCUGACUGUCGACACUUCUUAUCGUAACAUCAUUUCUUGACCAGAGCAUCAUAAUGUUAUACUUGUCGAAGUCUCAUGCAACUUACUUAGGAAUAUGAAGUCAAUAUGAAAUAAGCAAUAACAUAAAAGACAACAAAGUUAUGUAUAUCAACUUUGAUAUCAAGUGUUGGAGCAACCAAUUAUAAACAUGUUAUUAUAUACCAAACUCAAAAUUGCUUAAAAUGCAAUGGUAAUAGAGGGCAUUAUGUACUCAUCUUGCAGCACCUAAGUGAUAUGCAAAUGUUGCUGCAUGUGUGUGUGCAUGCAACAAUUUUAGAACUGUGAUAUUCAGAUUAAAUCCUAAUAGCGAGUAAGAAGUACUUUGAAAGCCAUUUUGUUGCAAGACUCCACCCUUUAUGGAAAAGAAAAAAGGUAAAAGUACGGGGUAUCUUGUUAAAUUAUACGAAACAACCAUUAUUCUCCAAUAGCUUAAGCUAUUUAUCAGAGAACAAUGCUUUUAUAUUUUUAUAUUCAACAUAUCUCGUCCUAUUGAUUUUGCCGCACUAAAGGUUCUGAGAUACAUCUGGUCUAUUAUAAGGGAAUAGGAAAGGAAUACUAUUCUUCUCAAAUAGUUCAGCCUUCUUGGUGAUAAGUGAACUAAAUGCUUCAUCAAAUACUAAAUUCUAGAGUCAACUGAUUGUCCAAUAGUCUCUUUAUAAUUUCUUAUCAAUUCACAUGUUACUCAUCUUUAACACAUUUCUCAAGUUAUGCGUGCAGUAAAGAAAGAUACUACAAAUGCAAAUAGUGAUAAAUGUACGAUAGAAUGAUUUUUCAACAUUCUCAAAUUAUUCAUCAAGCAAAGAACAUAGAAGGGAUCAAGAUGCAAAUUAACUCUACAAACUUCUUAAGGAUAUCAUCUGACCAAUGGAAUAGUAACAAAAUAAGCAAUAGCACGGACAGAGCAAAAUUAUUCCCACUCGUAUCAUGUGAGAGAGAAGGACAAAGUCUAGUAUUCAUUAUCAGACAACUAAAUUCUUGUUUAAGCACUAGGAGUAUACAAAAAUUACCUCAAUUUGAACAACAAAGUGAAAGAAAAACUUCAUUCGUUGGCCACAAGAAUAAAAGUAUUGCUGAAGUUUGAAUGAUAAAGUACCAUAUAGAGAUUCUUCUUAAGCCCAAUGCCUUUUUGGAACAACUUCGCCACUUGAUAGAGGGCCUUUGGCUGACCAGCAUUAGCUGCAGCAAGAAAAAAGUUGCGGGCGGCUUUCACAUCUCUUUUUACACCAAGACCCUUGAGAUAAAGCACUCCUAAGUUAUAAUGGCCUCCUGGUUCCUUUUGCUCAGCUGCUAUCUCAAAGUAUUCUCUUGCCUUCAAGAAUUAAGGAUUCAAUAAUAAGUUAGCAAGAUAAUUGACCAAAAUUAGUAAUGAUGCAACUUGUGACUAUAAUAACAGUUAACAAGCUAAGAAUAAAAUGAUUGCAUUCAAUAAAUUCAUUCAAUGCUUCAACUUGUGUGGGAUAUGUUGAAUGCAUAGAUUCAUUUCAUGUUACUGAUUUGUAAAGCUUACCAUUGUUAGAAGAGGAAACGAAGCCACAGACAAAGUUUUCAAUAGCAACAGCACAGCAGAUUAUCUUUUUAGAAUGAAGAAAUAGUUGAAACUAGCGUAGUAACCCGCGCGAUGCGGCGGAUAAAUAAUAGAAGAAAAAAUAAAAAAUAUUGAAGAGGACAAAGAAAGGAGUUUGGAAAAUAAAAAUUCAAGUGUGUUUUAUUUUUUGGGUAGGGAAAUAUAUGAAUUGAACUAACCAAUAUAACUAUUGAAAAUUGAUAACUGUCUAGAAUCACCAUUUAAAGAAAAAAUCUACAAAGGUCGUAUGAAGAUGGAGAUGAUAAUGUUGCGAUCAUGAUGACGAUGGCGAUGAAAAUCUCAUAGAAGUUUGCAUGAUUUUGCACCCUUUUGAGCAUGAAAUGGUCAGAACUGCCACAUCAAUUAUAAAAUCAAAACUAACCUCUCCUCUUUUAAUUUUGCAUGUUAGGAAUUGUUUGAGGGAGAAGAAAGAACUUAUAUCGAAGAGGAAAAACUCAGUAACAUACAAAUUAAAAGCACAUUGAUUAUAUGUCAUUGAAUUGAGAUGAGGGGAGGGGAAAAGCCAUGAGUAAAGAUUAAUUCAAAAAAACAGUUAGUGAGGGUGGAGAAAACUUGCCACGUGGCAAAAUUAUUGAGAAUUCAUAUAGGUUAAUAGAUAAUAGAUAACCAAAAUGCAUUAUACAAAUGGAGCAUUAGGCAAUAGCUCUCCAUCAUGCAUCUGAUGAUGACGGCAAUAAAAAAUGGGCCUAUCAGGUAUGAUGCAUUGCAUAGACUACGUACAAUCAAGUUUAUUUCAGGUUUUCUACAUGUUGAAUACUAAACUACAAGCUCCAUCCCCAAACCAAAAGUGCAUUAUUUAGGCCUGACCCAACCAUUUUCCUAUCGCCAAACUCAGGCAGUUGCUACUCCAGAAAUUCUAUUUGAACAACCAUUAAGCAUUCUCACAUGUAUCCAUCCAUUUUUCUUAUUCUUAACAAAUUUCCCAGCCUCUAACGUUAGACAUGAAGCAUCAGCAACCUACGAUCUACCAACUACCCAAUAAAAAAGAAUAACUCAUUAAUGCAAUGUUAGAAAAGAAGGGCAGAGGUCGGAGAUGCCUACGAUGAGCAGAGUUCAACGUGUUCAAGCUUUGAAGGGGAUCAACUUAAGAAACUAUCGCUAAUAAGAAGAAAAGACAUGAGAGAGGGGUAAUAGAAAGACAAUUGAAGAAGUAGUCAUCCUUCAUGACCAAAUUCGCACAAACUUAGUAAUUUCAUUAACAAAUUUGUCGAAACAACCAAAUUAGCCUUUCUCCCUUCGUGUAAAUACUUACAGGAAAUGUUAUCAAGACCUGCUGGGAAAGCAAGUUGAAGACCCUCUAACCUAAACAGAUAGUGUUGCUGACUCGGUAUUUACCAAAGCCCAACAGCUUAAAAUCUAAUAACAAUAAGGUUCAGCCACCUAACCAAGAUUUGAGCAACAUGAUUUAUAUUGAACCAGCCACCUUUGAGAACCAAAACUUUGUUUUUCAGUUUGAGAAUAAAUUAAUUUUCCGAGAAAGCUAGUAUCAUAAAAUGCAAAUAGCUAGACGCAACAACUGUUGAUUAACAAAUUACUUCAACAACUAUCAAAAAUUUCCCCAUUUUAUCUGUACAUAUGAUUUUUUAUGAAAAUAUAUUUUUAUUUUAGAAAAAGGAUUUCUUUCUUGCAUACUACUAAAAAUAUUAUUCUUAUGAUCUGGUUCAACUAAAAGAACCACCAGCUGAACCUCCACUCCCCCCAUCCCCUGAUAUACAUGAACAAAAUAGCCCUUAAGUCAACAGAUAAGCCAGAUGGCAAAAAAGAUUUAUGCACUGUAUAAUGGCGCAUACUGAAUACUGAACAAGAAUGCACUUAUGACACAUAAAAAUUCCUUGCAGUGAUGUUAUGAUAGUCUCCCAACUGACUGUUGAGUUUUGAGCAUAGUUAGUUAAUUCGGAUUAGGCAAAAAUUCGGUACGGAUAUAAUUUGGUUAAAAUUCGUCUUCUAAUUUUCAAAUUCGUUGAAAAAUACAGCUAAAAAACGGAUUCGGUAAUUAUUCGGAUACGUGAUUUAUACAGAUAUUAUACGUUCACCAAUUAAAAAUUCAGAAUUAAAAAUUCGGCUAUUAAAUUAAAUUUUUUUCUCUCAAAAUUUAUACUAUUAGUAUAAAUACUCAUAUUUCUUAAGAAUAUAAGAAUAAAGAGAUACAAAAUUAAGCUAAUUAUGUAAAAAAAAAUAACAAACUAUAUUAUGCUUAUAAAUAAAAUAUUAUAUAAUAAUAUUUCUAUAUAAAAAUAAAAUACUAUAUAUAAUAAAUGAAUAUAUAUUUAUAAAUAAAAUUAUAUAUAUAUAUAGAGUUGAGCUGGAAUGCUAUCUGUAGCAAACUGGUUCCGUUGCAACCCAUUUGAUUUCGAUGAUGGAGUUCUUAAAUUGACGAUCGGCACCGUUGAACAUGAUCUAUACCACUUGAAAUAUCUAGAAACCAAAUUUCAAAUCAUUUCGGCAUCAUUUACCUAAUGAUCAAAGAGUUUCAAAAUUUGUAAUUUUAAUGGUAGAUAUAAGGCGUUUUCUCGUUUAACGGUGUAAAGCUAUCCAAAUCAAUUGAAUUUUGAUGAGAAAAUUCUUUAAACUAUUUAGAAUAAGAUAUAUACUCUCGCUCUUGAUUACAAAAUUUCUAUCAUCAUUUUUUAGAGGAUAUUCAUUUUCAGCCGUUCAUUUUUACGCCCACUUGAUGGACAAGAGAAUAAUAUCGGAAAAGUAUAAAAUUUGAUUUCUUGAUACUUCAAGUGGUAUAGAUGAUGUUCAUCGGUGCCGAUCGUCGAUUUGGAGGCUCCAUCAUCGAAAAGAAAUGGGUGGCAACGGAGCCCAUUUGCUACUGAUAGUAUUCUAGCUCAACUCUAUAUAUAUAAAUAUAAUGAGAGGGAGGUCCACCGUGGACCUCCCUCUCAUGCGGUCCACAAGUGGCCUCGUGGACCGCGCGCGACCGUAGCCUCCCAAACGCCACGCCUUUUUCUUUUCGUCUUUUCCUCUGCAGACUACAACAAAAACUCGAUUUUUUCUCCAAAAAAAAAUUUUACGAACAACCAAACAUGGGAAAUAAAAUUUUCAACCGAAAAUUUUUGAGAAUUUUUUUUCGGAGGGGUUUUACAUAGAUCCAAACACUCGCGAGUUCGGCGACGAGAGCGGCGGAGGAGGAGGACGACGAAGACGACACGGACGAGUUGGCGACGAGAGCGGAGACGACGCUACCCGCAAGUCCGCCACCGCCGUUUUUUUUCGGCGAAUCGUUCGCGAAUCGCGAAUAAUUCGCGGAUAAUUAUUUUUGAUAAAAAAAAAAUGCGUUUUUUUUCAAAUUUUUCGGAAAAAUACAGAUACGGGCGUUUAAUUCGGUUAUUCAAAAAUUCGCGAAUAAUUUGCAAAUUAUACGCGAAUUAACUAACUAUGGUUUUGAGUCAAGUUUGGUUGAUUUCUCAGAUGCCCAGAAUAGCAGUCUUGGGUUUAUGGGUGCCAUUAGAGUUAAAGAAUGGGCUCAAGUCUCAGUCACUUAAAUUACAAUCUAACAAAAGCAGAUACUGAGCCAGUCAUCAGUAGUUGAUACAUGUUUUCCACGGUCUAAACACAAGUAAAAGCCACAAAAAUCUUCAAACGGUGUAGGUUUAGAAUGGCCCUGAAAUUGAAAUAAAUGUGUCCAGCACAUUGAUAAGAUAUGCUAAUUUGAAAAUAAAAUCAACCAUCUAGUACAAGAAACCAGGAUUUCAAUGUCUCUUCUUCAACAAAGUACUAACAAGAAUGAAGACAUCACAAAAUCUAAGAACACGAACCCUAUUUCAUUCUUUUAAAAGUAUCCAAGUCAUCCACAUGCUCUCUUACUCCCCAUUUUCUUUUGUCCCUCCGGUCAUCUAUAUCUGCUUAGAUUAUUGACUCCCAAGAACUUCAGAGUCAUCGCAUCCUUAACUCCCGAAACUCUCAUUGAAGAUGCAUGGUAACCAGUUUGAGGUGCUUAAGUGUUAGGAUGUUCAAUUUGUUCUCCUGAUUAAGGUUACUUCUUCGAUAUUAUUUCGUUUUUCUCACAUUAUAUGAAUUUCAUCCACAAGUUUAACUAUACCCUUUUAUUUUUCUAAUUUGCAUUUUAGAUAAGUUUAUGUUGUCUACUUGAAAAUUUUCAAAAUCUUCUGAUAUCCAUUUAGUUUACUACAAAUGUAUUGUGUUUCUUUUCCUAGUCAUUGCACCUACAAGCAUUCUGUUUUUCCCAAAAGUGUUACUGUUGUUGUAACCAAGGCAUUCUUUCCUAGACUAACUUUUUUGUCUGCACUAAUGCAGAAUGUGGGAAGACCCUUAAAUACUAGUGUCAAAUCUAGUUGUCUAUAAUUGCACUUAUGCAAUAAAGAUCGACAGCAUUAGGGCAAAAAUAUAAGAUUUGAAUACAGGAGUACACAUAGUAAGAGUUCUCUUAAUAAAGGUUUUAAGAUGAGUACCAAGCUACCGGAUGCAAUUGAAUUCCUCUAGGUGACCUUCUCAAUGGUUUGUUUAAGGGUAUAGCACACUACAUACACAAAGAACUUCCUUAUGCUCACAGCAACUGACAUAACUCAUAAUCCUCAACCUAUGCAGUUUUCAUGGACUCACACUGACAUGAGAAAUUAACAAGCAAAUUCGUCAAAAGAAGAAAAUAUAAACUUGAAAGAACUUACUUUUGUCAAGUUCUUUUUCUCCACUCCAUAUCCUUUCACGUAAAGGUAUCCCAAUCCAUUGUAAGCCGAAUAAUACUGCUGCUUGGCCGCCCUAGAGAGCCACUCGAAAGCCUUUGUGUAGUUCCUUUCCACUCCAGCACCUCUCGCAUAAAUCUCCCCAAGAAAUUCCAUGGAUCUCGUAUCCCCCUUCUCCACAGCCUUCGAGAACCAAUGAAGCGCCUUAGUGUGGUUGCGCCUCAACCCCCUCAGCCCAUAGUAGUAUAACAACCCGAUUUUAAACAUUGCCGCAGAAUUUCCUCUCUGUGCCUGGUACUCUGUGAUCUGGAAGUCCUCGUCUUCCUCGCCCCGCGACUUCCUCAGAGCAUCCUUGUUCUCCUCAGUGCCGCUGUGGAGCCGCACGGGCUCGAUCACCGGCGGCUCCUUUGAUAUGAGGAAGCUCAUCAUUGCCGUCUCCGCCAACUCGGCAUAGAGCACAACCGCCUUCUCAUACAUCUGCAAUGCGAAAGAUCGAUUUAGGGUUUCAGAUGAUUAGGAAUGGGGUGUUCAGAUGAUUAGGAUCUUCGACGAUCGGUGUCUCAAAAUCGAAAUCUAAAUGGUAGGUGAGAUUUAGAACAUCUAAAUAAAAGCCUACUCAUAUCCAAAAUUUAUGAUUUUUAAUACGUUGGCAGUUUGGACGUGGAAGAACGCAUGUAAGAAUUUAAAUUUAGAUUUUGACGUCUCAAUAAUGGGAGUUUAGUGGUGCGGUGUAUGUGAGGCAAUGAUUUCUCGGAUUCUAGGGUUUGGGAAACCGUACGGCCUGGCGGAAGUAGGUGUAGGCUAGGGCCAUCUUGGACUGGGGGUUGCCGCCCUCGGCGGCGAAGCGGUGGUGGAGGAAGGCCCUGGGGCGGCUGAGGGGGCGGAGGACGCCGUAGCCGCGGAGGAAGGCGAGGGCGGAGUGGGCGUGGGGGAGCCCGGCGGCGGCGGCGACCUCGAUCUGGGAGGCGGCGGCGUCCACGGCGGCGGGGUCGGCGGCGGAGGCGGCGGCGAGCAUGGCGUUGAUGCCGGAGACGAAGAGGGCCUCGCGGGGGUCGGGAUCGGAGCCAUCGGAGGGGGAGGAGGAGGAGGAGUUGAGGUGGGAGUUGGAGAAGGAGGGAUCGAGGACGGAGAGCCAUGAGCCGGGGUCGAGGCGGAGGUCGUCGGAGGCGGGGGAGGAGGAGGAGGAGGAGGAGGAGAACUCGUCCCAAUCGGGGUCGCCAUCGUCGUGGUCCUCGGAGGAGGAGGAGGAGGGAUCGGAGGAGGGGAGAGAGUCGGAGGAGGGGGUUUCCUUGAGGUCGUCGCCGGUGAUGACGAUGACGAAGGGGCGCACGGGGGAGGAGAGGGGGAGGAGGGCGCAGAUAAGGAGGAGAGGGAGGAGGGGGAGAGCUCUCCGGCGACGCAUCCUGGACAUGGUGGCGGAGAGGGAGAGGGAGAGGGCAGAGAGGGGGAGGGGAGAGAUUUGAUAUGCCAGGGGAUGGAUUAAAUUUAAGGAGGAGGACGGGUUUGGACACACGUCGAACGCGAAAUCUGAUUGGUCAAAAGGUUCUUAUUAGGCCGCUGAGUUAAUAUCUCAAGUUGCACAGAUCAGCUGACACGUGGCAUCAUUUUCUUUCUAAUUAAGAAAAAACUAGUGUAGUCGGGAAGCGUUGCAUUGCAGUGCGUUAAUUAUGUAGAAAUAAAUAAAUUAAUUAAUUAAUAUAAAAAAAUUAAAUAUACUAGAAGAAGAAGCUGAAGAAUAUAAAAAUAAGGGCCGGUUUGUUGGAUAUAGUUACAGAAACAGUAUAGCUGAAAAUAAAUGCAGUUAUAAAUACUGCAGUUAUAACUACACCUAGCCUAUUUGGUUUUAUACUGUUACAACUACUGCAGUUACAUUUCUUCUGUUUGGUCGGCUGUAGUUACAUUUUUUUCUGUUUGGUAGGCUGCAAUUGAGAUUUAUAUUUAUAAAUACUGUCACCUUAGAUAGAAAGUUAAGAUUACCUCUUCUUAAGAUAACAUAUCUAUGAGAUUUUAUAAUUAUUAAUUAAGAUAUAUAUAUAUAUAUAUAUAGGGUCCGGUACGUUACUAUUAUGACUACUAUCCGCCCUCGUAACUCUAAGUUAUUUAGAAUGAUAGAGCUUCCGAAUCGACGCAUCCACACGCUUAAACGUUUAUUUAACAUUUAAACUUCAGAGAAAUCAAAUUUAUAAUUUUCGACAUCAUUUAGCCUUUGAGCGAUCAAGCGUAUCACAAUUUGAAUUUUUAACGACCGUAUGAAAUACUUGCUAGUUUAACUGUUGCUAAGAAUCGAAAUUUGUUGAUUCUUGAUAGAAAAUUUAUUCAUACAUAGAUAAAAGAUCAAUAACUACGAUCUUGAUUGAAGGAUCGGACCUCAUCUUUUUUAGGACGCGUUCGAUUUUGGACGUUUUUUAUAUGCCCACUGAGGACUUUAUUAUGAUUUCAAAUUUAGAAUUUUUUUCUAGUAAUUUCAAAUACUCUGAUAUAAUUUAACGGUGCAGUGGAUCGUGUUCGGGGGGAAGCUCCAUCAUUGAAAACACUUAUGGAGUACGAGGGCUCAAAUCUAUAAUAGUAAUAGUAUAGUACCAUAGCAAUAUAUAUAUAUAUAUAUAUAUAUAUAGAGAGGGAGACAGAGAGAGAGAGACGCAGGAGAUGGAGAGAGAGAGAGCUAUGGUACUAUACUAUCUAUAGUACGAGCUCCGGUACUUAGUGUUGGUUUCGAUCUUAGGGACAUUCAACGAUCAAUACGAUCCACACCGUUAAACUGAUCUAGGGUAUUUUAAAGUUUCUAGAAAUAAAACUUUAUUUUCCUCGACAUAGUUUACAUUUUGAUCAAACUAUUUUUCAAAAUGUCAAUUUUCAAUGGUUUAUGGAUGAGUUUGCGAGUUUAAACGGUGUAAGAAGAAUCUAAAUUUCUCAAAUUUUGAUAGAAAAUACUUUUAAACUAUAUAAAUUAAGGCUUAACAUUACUUGAUCAUUGAAUUUAAGAAGUCUAUGCUUCAAAUUUUUAAAGAUUAUUCAAUUUCACCGUCCAUUUCUUGAUAUCAAUUAUUUACUAAGUAAACGAUAUCGAAAAAAACUAAAAUUUUAUUCUAAGAAAUUCAUAUACCCUAGAUUAUAUUUAACCGAGUGUUGGAUCCGGUUGAUCUGAACGCCCUAAGAUCGAAAACAAACACUCAUAGUACCGGAGCUCGGUACUAUAGAUAGUUUAGCUAGGCCUAAUUCUAUAUAUAUUAUAUAUAUAUAUAGAGUUGAACUGGCGCUUACUAUAGUAGCAAAAUCUCAUUUUUCUACCAGUUUUUUUUAGCCUUUGGAUCAACUCUUUUUAUUAUUUCUAAACCAUGAUUAAAUAUAAAACCAGUGGGGACACUCAACCCUGGGGCCGACCAACUCAACUCUAACGACUAAGUAUCACUCCAUGACCUACAUUUUUCAUCCAAGGGUUAAAACUUGAUAGCAAAAAAGAAGUGUCUUUACUAUUAAUAGUUAUUCCCAGCCUAAUUCUAAUAUAUAUUAUAUAUAAGUAUUAUAUGAUAUAUAUAUAUAUAUAUAUAAUAUAUACUAUAUAAUUAUACUACGUAUACUAUCAAUAAUACCCAAACCCUUGGUACUAUUUGAAUUUAUCGGCUGUUGAUGAAAAGGAUGUCGCGUUCUCGGAUGAGAGUGUCCCGUGUUACAAUUGAUACUAUGUCCCUAGGGUUGAGUCAAGUGGUUGGUUUAAUAGUGAUAAUCUAGACGGGUGAAAUGAUCAAAAGGCGUAGAUCUACGGUAGAAACCAUUUAGUACCAAGGGCUUGGUACUAUCGAUAGUAUAGUAGCCGGAUAUAUAUAUAUAUAUAUAUAUAUAUAUAUAUAUAAUAUAUAUAUAUUAUAUAUAUAUAUAUAAUUAUAAUAUUAUAUAUAUAUAUAUAUAUAUAAUUUAUAUAUAAUAAAAUUAUAUAUGAAGAGUCCAGCUACUAUACUCUUAUGAGUAUAGUUCUCUUUGUACUCAUACGUUUUUUUGCUGUUAGAUCUACUUCUUUGAUCAUUUCCACCCGUUAGAUCAUACUAUUCAACCAACACCCACUCAACGCUAGGGGACCACUAUUAACCUAACCAGAUACCACUAUCAUCCUAACCGCACAUAUCUUCAUCUAAUGGUCGAAAAUUUAUGAGUACAAAUUAAGGGGGUAAUACUCAUAAGAGUAUAGUAGCCCUAGCCAUAUAUGAAUUAAAUAAAUUUUAAAUACAAACAUAUUAUAAAUUGGGUCAUAACAAAAAUUUAAAUAUUAUUGAACUAUAAAACUAAAUGUAAAUUAAUCCAUAAUAGAGCUAACAAAUAAAAAUAAAGCAUGUAUGAUAAAAUAACUAAAUCAAUUACCAGCAUCACAUGACUAGAGAGAGAGAAUGAUGACUAUUUCUCUCUCUGUGAAAAAGUGUCACACCCCGGGGCCGAUUUUAAAAACCUUUUAAAAACAGAGUUGCGAAAAACGUGCCANNNNNNNNNNNNNNNNNNNNNNNNNNNNNNNNNNNNNNNNNNNNNNNNNNNNNNNNNNNNNNNNNNNNNNNNNNNNNNNNNNNNNNNNNNNNNNNNNNNNAAAAGAGAGAUGAGCGCGGCUUCAAUGCCGGGCUUUGUGUAGCACCUGCCCGCCGCCGAAGUCUGUGGUUGUUUUUUGGUGCCGGCCUCUCGCGCCGGCGGCGCGAGCACUGCCCUGCGCCUGGCCGCGCAACUCGCGCGCUCACCGCGACGGGUCGCGCCUGCGGAAGCCAUCCGGCCGAGCCUCAGCCUGAGCUCCUCCCUUCUACCCGUAUGCUAGGGCACUCAUUGCCCGUCGCUGCCGUGCGUGGCCUGCGCGAUCCCUGUCAGCCGGGCCAGCCCACUGCCCGCCCUCUCUCUGUCGCACGACCUUCCGACUGACGCGGCGCGCUCCUGCUUUCCGCCGCGCCGGCCGUACCGUAAGCUCCCGCAGUGGCCGGUAAGCUUGUUUUCAGCUCUUUCUCUGCGCAGUGUUCCCGUUACUACCACUUUCCGGCGACGCUGAGCUUUUCCGAUGCCCCCGAGGUGAGCGACGGUGAUCGCAGUCAGUCGCUAUUCACACGUGCUUCACCACUAGUCACCGAUCCCUGGUUAGUGAGAUUAUCAUGCUUCCUAACUGUGUCGCUGUUUCACUUAAUUCGCGUCGGCCGUGUAUUGUGUAUUGGCCGCAUAGUGGCCGGCAGGUGCUCCCGACAAGAUGAGCACAGGCCUCCGGACGCGAACCAGUACGGAGUGCUAUGCCUUGAUUGGACUCUGCUUUGCGUGUACGACCAUAAUAGAGCCAUGAAAUUACAAAAAAAUAAUGAUUUCAUGGUGUCGAUAGGGCUUUAUGCCGUUUGCUUCCGUCGUAGCUGCUGUUGGCAGUGGAGUUAGGGUGAGGAAACCUCUGGACUGAUCGCCGAAUGGCCACCAAGCCUUUGCAAGUGUCAGAAUGUAGACUUUCGCGCGUUUCUCGCGAAAUCCGUGCGCGACAACAUGCGGGAUUCGGUGGAAUUCCUAUCCGACAGUGUUUCGUGAGAAUGGUGUAAGCGCUGAUCCUUGUCGCUGUCAUUGGUGCCAUCAUUUUGAGGUCUACAGUGGGUGACGAGGUAGGCUUCCGGUGUCGAAAUAGACACUUUUCGCGAACCCGGAUUCGACAAUUAUCCCGGGAUUAAUUGCGUAGGGGUUGUACCUUGUGUUUGUCUGCCAAAAAAUCCAAAUGGAAGGUUUUUGGGCAGCAAGUGACCGUGACACCAGUCGGUGAGUUUCGGGCACACUUAGUGUCCCGGACGGCGUCCCGGUUGGUUUCGGGACUUCACGGCCGAGUUAACGGUAUAUAGGGUAUUGCGAAACCCGAUACGGGUUCUGUGUGGGUUUGUGAGAACAAGUGUACUUCAGGUGAGUGGGCUUUGGGUUACUGGACACCGGAUCUUCGUAGGUCCGAUCGACUGUGCUACGCAGUGUCCGACGCGACAGUGACAGGUGGGUACUUCGAAUCCGAAUUCGGUAGAGUGGUGCCAACUAGCUCGGUGAUUAUGCUUCUACUGCCCUGUUCUUCUGUGCAUUCGUAUUACAUAUGAGCUGCAUCUCACCGUUGUUCUAUUAUACUCUACUGCAUAUGUUUAUCGAGUAUCAUGUGUAGGAUAGAGAGUUAUCCAUAUGUGAUAUCGUGACCUUGACUUGGUCGUUCUCGAUUUGUUCCGGGACUCUAAUUGGCGGUUCUCGUACUCGUUCGGUUGACACUGUUUGUCUGUUCGUUGCAUUAUUAACGGUUUGUCGUUUCUUGACUUCUGUGUCAUGACCUUAGAGGUCGGUGUAGCCUGAGUAGAUAUUUCGCUUGGCUCGUAUUUCUGGACUAUAUCGAUUACAACUCUGUGAACCAUCGUCGGUUUUGCGUCGACUUCUAUUGACACGGCAAGUGACUAAUAUUAUCCGUAUUACUUGCUGGUUUCCAAUGUUAGUAAUCCUGUAUAGGAGAGUAUAAAAAGAUGGCAUUCAUAUAUACAUACUUCGACAUGGUGGUCGGUCUGUAGCCGUUUGCAUCGUGACUAGCUGUUCUGGAUCGUCUUACUUCCGUUAAUAUUGUACCUCUCUGGGUUCGUUCACGUUGUUAUCUUUGAUGACCUAUCACGUCGUUAGCCCCGAGGCAGUGAUUGUCGACUUGAUUGCCGACGGUCUGCUAUAUGACAUAUCCGCAUGAUCGCCCACAGCUUCGAGUGCAUUCACUGACACCAGCGUUGAGCCCGCGAGGAGGGUGUUUCUUUCCGGAAAAGUGGUCGUCACAUCCAGAACCCGUUGAGCCCAGCGGCUGUCUCAUUGUGCUAGGGUUACAUCGCCAAGUUGACAGAUAGUGGCUUUUGGCCUGAGGUCCUAAGACGCGCACGGCGGAUAGAUUUGGUAAUUUUGGACUUCUCGUCCGAUUGACACAUAUACUAUAGUAGCGUUGUUGGCAUGUGACUUUCUAUCUUUCUUUAACAUUGUCUUGCUAACUAUAGUUUUGAUAUCCAUUGAUACUUGCAGUUGUUACAUACAGUAGCGGUAGAUGUCUUCAACAUAUAUAUCUCAUUCGUGUCAUCUCGUAUGCUACUGUAUUUCACACCCAUACUGUUUGUUUAUCUCUUUCCUGAUCCGGUGAAUACCUCCUCUCGCCUUCUUCGGCUGCGUCACCCCACUGGAGGGAGACAUGUUUACAUAUGUUCUCACCUCCCCCACCAUUUUUCAGUGAUCGCGGACCUAAGAGAGUUAGUGGACGAGACGUGAGUAGUGUGUAAGCGGUCGAAUAGACUUCCGACCCAGGUUAUUACGAUUUAGUUAUUAUCCCUGCGUAUUUUCGUUGAUAGUAUUAUUUAGGUUGUUAUAUGUCAUAUUUGUGUAUUACAUUGGAAAGUGAUUUCUGAUUGUACAAAUAAAAGGUUUUUCUACCCUCGGGUAGCGGUUUUAAAAGAAUAAAGGUUCCUGAUCCGGAAACAGGUUUUAGCUUUCAAAGGUUUGUGAUUUCUGUAAACCUCGAAUGUAAAACCUUGUGAUGUAAUGGGAAUGGAUAAUGUAUAGCUAUCUGUUAUAUUUCAUUUAUUGUGUUGUAUACUGUUUACUUUUGUACUCGGUGACGUCCGUCAAUGUACAGGGAGGACACUGUCCGUGGAACCAGGCGAAUUCCCCUGUAUGUGGGCUGAUCUGGCAUACUCGGGGUCAGUUUCAAAAAAAAAAAAAAAAAAAUCAACAACCUUUCGCUGUAGUUUCAACAAAAAGGGACCCUCGGCGUGACAGAUAAAAUUGGUUCAGCAGAAAAGGUUACAACCACAACACCAUUCACAAGUUGUUUUUGAAAAGUAAAUAAACUGAACCAAUUGGUAGUUGACCUAUAGAAGACCUGCGGUAAAAUAUAGGCACGUGAUGCGGGAUUUGGGCUUGUUCCAAGUUGCAUCGAGUUUGUAAACUCGAAAAUGUAUGGCCCAGUAUUAUCGUCCGCACAACGGUGUCUAAGUUCGGUGUAUGGCGGUGUACAUGUUUUUCGGACAUCGAGUGUGGGCGACGUCCCCCAGGUUACCAUUCUCGUCAUGUGGGCCUGUGAAAGCCAGUGACUCUGGGGCCUAGGCAGGGCCGACUGCGCUGACGCCCAGUGCCACUCUCUCUACUUAAGAUCACGAGAGCUUUGCGAGUGUCUCUACGAGAGACGGUGCUUAGACCAGAUACGGUCGCAGUUCUUGACUUCUUGGGCUAGCUAUGGUGUAGCCAGGGUUUGGGUAGCGUCGUUUAGGCGACUGCAUGUGUGUUGUUCCUUGCAGAUCUUUGGUAAGGCUGUGAUGUCACCCUCUUUUACUUGAUUGUUGAUGAAAAUCACAGUUCAGAAUCUUUGACCUUGACUCGUUUCAUUUCUCCACCAUACUAAGUCCGAUUGAACAGUUUGGUGUCAAUGUUUUUGUUAGGGCAUACAUCGUAUGCGUUAUUCUAACACCCCAAAUGGUGUGUUGUGGAUAUAGUUGGUAGUUGUCUAGAUCGAAAUGGUUCAGGUCCGUUCUAAAUUUCGAACGUCGACUUUAAAUCGACUGUUUCGAUAGUAAUGGUUGUUAAGCUUCUGGUUCACAGUAGAGAGGUAUCAAUGACUUGAUACUAUUAUCGGCGUGUAACUUCCAAACUGUUGUGUAGUGGACUUCGGAUAUUCGCUUUUCUUGUGAUAAGUAUAUGCUGCAGACAAUAUACGUCGAAAAGAACGAAAUACCAUCUCCUCCAUUUGGGAACUUAUGAUUGGCUCGGUGUUUCUAGAACUGUUUUGUUGAAAUUAGAGAGAUAUCUGUGAGGAUGUUGGGUAUCGUCACCUUUUGACUCACCUAGUGGCGCCUUGGAUCUCUUGGCAGUUUGCGCAAGCUGAUCUUAUCAUCACUGCAGGUGGUUCCACCUUGGUUCGAGUCGGUGUCAUAGCUUUUAGUUGUAGCUCAUUUAGCUAAAGGUGUGGUAGUAGUUCGGUCUUUGUCUUGGAGUUCAGAAUUUUGUUUAGUGACUUGAGCCUAGUGUGGUAUUCGAUUCGUCACCGUGUGAUAUGUGUAGAUGUUAUUCAGCCUAUUUGCGAUCUUUUGAUGUAUGCUUCUCCGUUUAAAUUGGUGAAAACGGUGCCAGGGUCCAAUGUAACAGUAUCUGUGUUUUCUCGAAAUACCGCGAUCGCUGGGUCCUUUAGACGGCAGCGACAGGUUCUCGUAGAGACAGGUUUUUAGCAUCACCUUGAUGGUUGUAUCCGUUUACUGCGAUUGGCAACCCUGUGCACCAAGUUUUGGACUGCAUCACGGAGUUUAUUGGUUUUAGCGAACCAGUUUAUUAUAUUGACAAGCGGUUUUGUCAAGCUCAAUUAUUGCUCAGGCUCGACCUUUUCGGUCAGGUGAAACGGUGAGCUUGUGGACCUAGAACGUCGAAUAUCAAAGGCGGCUUCCCGUGGAUGUUGGACCUUGACUUCCGCGCAUCGUUGCGUGAUCGGUAGUGGAGACGUAGUCUGAGGCUGUUUCUACCGACUCGAGUUUUAGAGAGAAUACAGUUUCAAUCUUCGCUCGUGUGACAAGGAUUAUUGUUGCUAGUCGAAAAUAUUUUUGCUCCGAUCUAGGUAAUCAGACUCCAGUUGGGUUUGGCUCGUCGAUUCUUUCUCGUAACUAGUGACGAUGGUCCGAUAGGUCGAGUCGGUUGAGGCUUUUCGGACCAAGGUUACAGGAUGGUGUUGAUCCCGGUGUGUUAUGGUCCGCAGACUUCGGUUUGGUACGUUUCCCUCGUCUUGUUCUUGUGGAACCGCAGUCCUAUUCUCCCUUUUUCAGAGGUUGAUCUGUCCAAUUCUAGAUUUGUGACUGACCAGUAUCCAAAGGUGUUACCGUGUUGGUGGGGCAAUGUCAGAGUUCGAUUACGGUGGGUACGUGGUCAAGUUUCGAGGACGAAACUUCUUUUAAGGGGGGGAUGAUGUAAGGACUGAGAUUUUUGACAGUGCAACUUAACUCUCUGUUGACGAUGUUUAUGUGUGUAGUGUAAUUACAUAAGCACUCGUCAAGUUUCAGGAGAAAAUGAGCUAAAACGGAGAAGUUACGCGAUUAUUAGUUUUCACUUAAGUGAAUAGUAACUCCGAUUUUUCGGUGAAGCCACGGAGUAGAGUUGGCUUCUGGUGCGUAUCGAACUCCGUUCGUAUCAGUCCAAUAGCUCGUUUCGACCGGUUCAGCUGUUCUGGAACUAAUGGCACUGACGGAUUUUGAGUUUGACGCACGGAUUUCGAGAAAAUCCAAAAAUACAUGUUUUAUAUGUAUUUUUGUGUGUUCCCUUCGAUUGGAACGAAAGGUUGGAUUUUGUCGUGAAUUCGUGGUCGAUCGAGACGAAACGAAAUCGUAGCUUUGUUGUCUCCGUCGUGCUGAUCGCACCGGUGCAAUCCGUUCGCAAAUCUGACGGACGGAUCUGCGGAAAUCGCGCGUUGUUUGAGGAGAGGUCGUUGUGGGGAAAACGGUAUUUUUGCAAAAGUCGUAAUAUUUUAUGUACCGUUUCGCUUGAGAUCGCUCUUGGAGGGGUAUUAGUGUGUAUUACUCGCGCUGUGAAGGACUGGGUUUGGAAUUAUCCAUCCUUGAAGGGUUUUCUUGCAAUGUUUCACCUUGUAUAUAGGAUUUUUCUAGGGUUUGCUCAUGGCAAACCCUAACCCUAGCCUUGCCGCAACCCCCAGCCACCCUCACCUCGCUCCCCUGCCCUAGCCAUGCGCCCUGACCGCCGCCUACUGAACCCCCGGCCGGCCAGCCACCGCCGCAGCCACCCUUCUUCCUCCCUCACCAUCUUUCUCUCCAUCUCUCUCUCUUUUCUUCUCGGGUUAGAGCCCAGGCCGAGGCUGCAGUGGCCUCCCUGCACCAUGCCGGUGUCGCCCGACCUCAUCGAAGCGUCCCCGUCGACCGCCGGCCGCCGCUCUCUCUUUCUGCGGCCGCCUUGACCAAGUGCGGGCCGAGCCGGAGCUAGCUCCGCCUCCGUGCGCCGCCGCCGCUGUGGACCACCCUGGCCGACUUCCCGGAGCCCCGGCGUACCUCCCCGCCGACCGCUGCCGCCCCGGAGGCGCCGCCUCGCCGCGCUGAAGCCGCCUCGGCCAGCCGCGGCCGCCCCAGACUUGCGCGGGCCGAGGUGAGCUCGCGGCUUCUUCCUCGCGCUGCCACCACCCGGAGCCAUCCGUGCCGCCUCUCUCCGGCCUCUGGAAACCCUCCGCCGCCGCACCGAGGUGCCCCGAUCGCCGCCGAGGCCGGCGCUGAAACCCGAGCCCGAGCGCGGCUCAUGCGGGCUUGUGUAGCACCGCCGCCGCCACCGCCGCCUCUCGCCGCCGGACGGCGCGAGCACUGGCCCUCCCUGGCCUGCCGCACUCGCCCUCUACCGGCGCGGUCGCCGCCGAAGCCUCCGCCGGCCGAGCUCGGGGCCGAGCUCCCCUUCACCCGUACGGCUAGGGCAUCAUUGCCCGUCGCUGCCGCCGCCUCCUGUCGCCGCCCAGCACACGCCCCGGCCCCUCCCUGUCGUCAGCACCUUCCUGACGCCGGCGCGCCUGCUUUCCGGCCGCCGCCGGCCGUACCGUAGCUCCCCAGUGGCCGGUAAGCUUGUUUUCAGCCUUUCUGCGCAGUGUUCCCUGUUCUACUCACUGUUCCGGCGACCUGAGGCUUUUCCGAUGCCUCCGGAGGUGAGCACGGUGAUCGUCAGUCAGUCCUGAUCACAGUGCUCACCUCACUUAGGGUCAACGAGCCCCUGGUUAGCGAGAUAAGCAUGCUUUUCCUACUGUGCGCGCUGUUUCACUAAUUUUGCGUCGCCCGUGCGCGUGCCAUAGUGGCCGGCAGUGCUCCGAAAGGUGAGCACGGCCUCCGGCACGCCGAGACCAGUCAGCGGGAGUCUUGCCUUGGAUGUUUGACCUCUGCUUUGCGUGUACGAUCCAUAAAAGCCAUGAAAUCACAUAAAAUAAUGUGAUUUCAUGUGUCGAUAGGGGCUUUUAUGCCGUUUGCUUCGUCGUAGCUGCUGUUGGCAGCGAGUUAGGGCUGAGGAUAACCUCUGGACUGAUCGUCCAAGGCCCCAAGCCUUUGCAAGUGUCAGAAUGAGACUUUCGGCGCGUUUCUCGGCGAAAUCCGCCGACGGAACGCGGGAUCGGUUCGAAUUCCUUCCGACAGUGUUUCGUGAGGAAUUGUGUAGUCGCUGAGCCUUGUCGGCUGGUCACUCGCAUCAUUUUGAGGGUUCUGAAAUGAUGGGUGAGCGACGGUAGGUUCCGGUGUCGAAAUAGACACUUCCGGGAACCCGGAUUCGUACGAUUAUCCGGCGAUGAUCGUAUGGUUGUGUCACCUCGUGUCCGCUGCCAAGGCAUCCAAAUCGGAGUGUUUUGGGGCAGCGGGUGACUCGUGGCACGAGUCGGUGAGUUCGGGACACUUAGUGGGUCCCGACGGCGUCCCGGUGUGGUUUUCGGGACUUCCGGUGAGUUACGAUGAUCGGUUUUGGGAAACCGAUACGGGGUUCUGUGUGGGGUUUGUGAGACAGUGUACUUCAGGUGAGUGGGUUGGUUACUGACCCGUGGGAUCUUCGUAGGUCCGGUUGACUUGUGCGUACCCAGUGUUCCGACGCGACAGUGACAGGUGGGUACUUCGAUCCGAAGUCGGUACAGUGGUGCACGCUCGGUGAUAUUCUUCUAUCCCUGUUCUUCUGUGCUAUUUUCGUAUUAUAUAUUGAGCUUGCAUCCCCGUUGUUUCUAUUAUGCUCUACUCAUAUGUUCUAUGCUUAGUAUCAUGUGUAGGAGUAGAGUAGUUUAUCCAUAUGUGAUAUCGGUGACCUGAUUGGUCGGUUCUCGUACUUUGUUCCGGUGACCUAAUUGGUCGGUUCUCGUACUUCGUUUCGGUGACCUAGUUGAUCGGUGCUUUUAUCUUAUAUCUGUUGACCUGGUUGGUCGGUCGUUGCAUUAUGUAUUGGGUUGGUCUGUUUCUUGACUUCUGUUGUUCGAUGACCUUUGAGGUCGGUGUACCCUGAGGGGUAGGAUUGUCGGCUGGUGCUGACGGUAGUUCUGGACUAUAUCGAAUACACUCCUGUGACCUAUCGGUCGGUUCUUGCGUUCGUACUUUUAGUUGACAUCGAGCAGUAUCUACAUAUUAUCUUUAUUUACUCUGCCUGGUUGUUCUAUGUGUAGUAUCCUGUAUAGGGGUAGAGUAGAUGGCAUUCGUAUAUACUAUACUUGUGACCUGGUUGGUCGGUUCUCCUGUUUGCAUCGGUGACCUGUUUGGUCGUUCGUUACUUUCCGUAUAUUGACCUCUCUUGGUCGGUUCACGUUGUUACUUGAUGACCUACACGGUCGGUUAGCCCCGAGGGGCAGUGAUUGUCGGCUGAUUGCCGACGGUUGGCUAUUGAUCAUAUCCGCAUUGAUCGCCACAGCUCGAGUGCAUUUCACGUACACCAGCGGGUUGAUCCCCCGCAGGAGGGUGUUCUUUUCCGGAAAAGUGGUCGUACAUCCGACCCGUGAGCCCAGCGGUGUUCUCUUUGUGCUAGGGUUACAUGCCAGGUGUGAGCAGAUAGUGGCUUUUGCCUGAGGUCCUUAGACCGACACGGCGGUUUAGAUUGGGUACUUUUGGGACUUCUCGUCCGGUUGACACAUAUAGCUAUAGUAGCGGUUGUUGCAUGUGUACUUCUAGUUCUUUCUUUACAGUUGUCUUGCUACUAUAGUUUUGAUAUCCUUGUAUACUUGCAGUUGUACAUUACAGUAGCGGUAGUUGUGCUUUCAUACAUAUAUAUCUCAUUCGUUCAUUUCGUUGCUACUGUAUUUCACUUACCCAUACUGUUGUUUAUCUCUUCCUGAUCCGGUGAGUACUCCUCGCCUUCUUCGGCUUGCGGUACCCACUGGGAGGGGAGACAUGUUUACAUGUUCUCACCUCCCCCACCAUUUUUCAGGUAUCGCGGACGAUGAGUAGUGGGACGAGACGUGAGGUACGUGUGUAGCGGUCGAUAGAGCUUCCGACCCAGGUUAUUACGAUUUAGUUAUUAUCCUCGGUAUUUCUGUUGAUAUAUAGUUUAGUUGGUUUAUAUGGUUCAGUAUUUUUAUUACAUUGGAAAAUGUGGAUUUCUGGAUUUUGUAAAAUAAAAGGUUUUC
rnacentral:lncRNA from 1 species